AGGGGGAGCUUGCUCCCCGCUGACGAGCGGCGGACGGGUGAGUAAUGCAUAGGAAACUGCCCAGUAGUGGGGGAUAGCCCGGGGAAACCCGGAUUAAUACCGCAUACGCCCUUUGGGGGAAAGCAGGGGAUCUUCGGACCUUGCGCUAUUGGAUGUGCCUAUGUCGGAUUAGCUAGUUGGUGGGGUAAGAGCCUACCAAGGCGACGAUCCGUAGCUGGUCUGAGAGGAUGAUCAGCCACAUCGGGACUGAGACACGGCCCGAACUCCUACGGGAGGCAGCAGUGGGGAAUAUUGGACAAUGGGGGCAACCCUGAUCCAGCCAUGCCGCGUGUGUGAAGAAGGCUUUCGGGUUGUAAAGCACUUUCAGUGAGGAGGAAAACCUUACGACUAAUACUCGUGAGGCUUGACGUUACUCACAGAAGAAGCACCGGCUAACUCCGUGCCAGCAGCCGCGGUAAUACGGAGGGUGCAAGCGUUAAUCGGAAUUACUGGGCGUAAAGCGCGCGUAGGUGGUUUGAUAAGCGAGAUGUGAAAGCCCCGGGCUCAACCUGGGAACGGCAUUUCGAACUGUCAGGCU
rnacentral:rRNA from 1 species